rnacentral:rRNA from 1 species
UGCUUGCAUUCAUGAUUUACAUUUGAGUUGAGUUGGCGAACUUGGUGAGUAACACGUGGGAAACCUGCCCAGAAGCGGGGGAUAACACCUGGAAACAGAUGCUAAUACCGCAUAACAACUUGGACCGCAGGUCCGAGCUUGAAAGAUGGCUUCGGCUAUCACUUUUGGAUGGUCCCGCGGCGUAUUAGCUAGAUGGUGGGGUAACGGCUCACCAUGGCAAUGAUACGUAGCCGACCUGAGAGGGUAAUCGGCCACAUUGGGACUGAGACACGGCCCAAACUCCUACGGGAGGCAGCAGUAGGGAAUCUUCCACAAUGGACGAAAGUCUGAUGGAGCAACGCCGCGUGAGUGAAGAAGGGUUUCGGCUCGUAAAACUCUGUUGUUAAAGAAGAACAUAUCUGAGAGUAACUGUUCAGGUAUUGACGGUAUUUAACCAGAAAGCCACGGCUAACUACGUGCCAGCAGCCGCGGUAAUACGUAGGUGGCAAGCGUUGUCCGGAUUUAUUGGGCGUAAAGCGAGCGCAGGCGGUUUUUUAAGUCUGAUGUGAAAGCCUUCGGCUCAACCGAAGAAGUGCAUCGGAAACUGGGAAACUUGAGUGCAGAAGAGGACAGUGGAACUCCAUGUGUAGCGGUGAAAUGCGUAGAUAUAUGGAAGAACACCAGUGGCGAAGGCGGCUGUCUGGUCUGUAACUGACGCUGAGGCUCGAAAGUAUGGGUAGCAAACAGGAUUAGAUACCCUGGUAGUCCAUACCGUAAACGAUGAAUGCUAAGUGUUGGAGGGUUUCCGCCCUUCAGUGCUGCAGCUAACGCAUUAAGCAUUCCGCCUGGGGAGUACGGCCGCAAGGCUGAAACUCAAAGGAAUUGACGGGGGCCCGCACAAGCGGUGGAGCAUGUGGUUUAAUUCGAAGCUACGCGAAGAACCUUACCAGGUCUUGACAUACUAUGCAAAUCUAAGAGAUUAGACGUUCCCUUCGGGGACAUGGAUACAGGUGGUGCAUGGUUGUCGUCAGCUCGUGUCGUGAGAUGUUGGGUUAAGUCCCGCAACGAGCGCAACCCUUAUUAUCAGUUGCCAGCAUUAAGUUGGGCACUCUGGUGAGACUGCCGGUGACAAACCGGAGGAAGGUGGGGAUGACGUCAAAUCAUCAUGCCCCUUAUGACCUGGGCUACACACGUGCUACAAUGGAUGGUACAACGAGUUGCGAACUCGCGAGAGUAAGCUAAUCUCUUAAAGCCAUUCUCAGUUCGGAUUGUAGGCUGCAACUCGCCUACAUGAAGUCGGAAUCGCUAGUAAUCGCGGAUCAGCAUGCCGCGGUGAAUACGUUCCCGGGCCUUGUACACACCGCCCGUCACACCAUGAGAGUUUGUAACACCCAAAGUCGGUGGGGUAACCUUUUAGGAACCAGCCGCCUAAGGUGGGACAGAUGAUUAGGGUGAAGUCGUAACAAGGUAGC